AGGGGUUUAGGUUAAACUAGACCAAGAGCCUUCAAAGCUCUAAGUAAAUAAUAUAUAUUUAACCCCUG
rnacentral:tRNA from 1 species